rnacentral:rRNA from 1 species
AGCAGCCGCGGUAAUUCCAGCUCCAAUAGCGUAUAUUAAAGUUGUUGCAGUUAAAAAGCUCGUAGUUGAAUUUCGAGACCGGUUUACUGGUCGUGCUUUUGUACGUACUGGUAUAAUCGGUUUCUCUUUUCUGACGAACUAUAAUGCCAUUAAUUUGGUGUUAUAGGGAAUCAGGACUGUUACUUUGAAAAAUUAGAGUGUUUAAAGCAGGCUCACGCUUGAAUACAUUAGCAUGGAAUAACGAAAUAGGACGUUUGAUUUUAUUUUGUUGGUUUCUAGGAUCGACGUAAUGAUUAAUAGGGAUAGUUGGGGGCAUUAGUAUUCAAUUGUCAGAGGUGAAAUUCUUGGAUUUAUUGAAGACUAACUACUGCGAAAGCAUUUGCCAAGGAUGUUUUCAUUAAUCAAGAACGAAAGUUAGGGGAUCGAAGACGAUCAGAUACCGUCGUAGUC